CAGGCGGUUUUGUAAGACAGUGGUGAAAUCCCCGGGCUCAACCUGGGAACUGCCAUUGUGACUGCAAAGCUAGAGUACGGCAGAAGGGGAUGGAAUUCCGCGUGUAGCAGUGAAAUGCGUAGAUAUGCGGAGGAACACCGAUGGCGAANGCAAUCCCCUGGGCCUGUACUGACGCUCAUGCACGAAAGCGUGGGGAGCAAACAGGAUUAGAUACCCUGGUAGUCCACGCCCNUAAACGAUGUCAACUGGUUGUNGGGUCUUAACUGACUCAUAACCAAACUAACGCGUGAAGUUGACCCCUGGGGAUACGGCCCCAGGUUNAAACUCAAAGAAUUGACGGGAACCCCAAANCNGU
rnacentral:rRNA from 1 species